rnacentral:rRNA from 1 species
GACAGAGGGUGCAAACGUUGUUCGGAAUUACUGGGCGUAAAGCGCGUGUAGGCGGCUAUGUAAGUCGGGCGUGAAAUCCCACGGCUCAACCGUGGAAGUGCACCCGAAACUGCGUAGCUAGAGUCCUGGAGAGGAAGGUGGAAUGCUUGGUGUAGAGGUGAAAUUCGUAGAUAUCGAGAGGAACACCUGCGGCGAAGGCGGGUUGCUGGGCUGACACUGACGCUGAGGCGCGAAAGCCAGGGGAGCGAACGGG